AGAACACUCAGGUUUCACUUCUGAGCCCCAGCUGUGGUAUCUACUGGCCUGGACUUGAGCUAGUCACUUUAUUUUCUGAGCUUCAGUUUGCUCACUGGACGAGUAGGAAAGUCAUUCCUGUCUGGCUUAACUAGAGGGCCUGUGGUGAGGCAUAAACUGGAGAAGAAAAUCAAACCAUCUGGUGAACUGUCAAGCUCAAUUUCCCUCUUUAAGGAAGAAAGGAAAGUGUUUUCCUGGAUACUAGAUAUGCUGAGUUGGGACAGGAGCUAAGGAUAGAGGUGAGGAAACCCGCAGACAACAGCGACAUGCUCCUCAUCUUUGAGUCCCAGCGAACCUUUCCACUGUGUGUGUGUGCUGGAAUGCAGUUAACUGAUCACCUGCAGGCUUGAACU
rnacentral:lncRNA from 1 species